rnacentral:rRNA from 1 species
GACGAACGCUGGCGGCGUGCUUAACACAUGCAAGUCGAACGGAAAGGCCCUGCUUUUGUGGGGUGCUCGAGUGGCGAACGGGUGAGUAACACGUGAGUAACCUGCCCUUGACUUUGGGAUAACUUCAGGAAACUGGGGCUAAUACCGGAUAGGAGCUCCUGCUGCAUGGUGGGGGUUGGAAAGUUUCGGCGGUUGGGGAUGGACUCGCGGCUUAUCAGCUUGUUGGUGGGGUAGUGGCUUACCAAGGCUUUGACGGGUAGCCGGCCUGAGAGGGUGACCGGCCACAUUGGGACUGAGAUACGGCCCAGACUCCUACGGGAGGCAGCGGUGGGGAAUAUUGCACAAUGGGCGGAAGCCUGAUGCAGCAACGCCGCGUGCGGGAUGACGGCCUUCGGGUUGUAAACCGCUUUCGCCUGUGACGAAGCGUGAGUGACGGUAAUGGGUAAAUAAGCACCGGCUAACUACGUG